rnacentral:rRNA from 1 species
UGGCGGACGGGUGAGUAACGCGUGGGUAACCUGCCCUGUACAGGGGGAUAACAGUUGGAAACGGCUGCUAAUACCGCAUAAGCGCACGAGAGGACAUCCUUUUGUGUGAAAAACUCCGGUGGUACAGGAUGGGCCCGCGUCUGAUUAGCUGGUUGGUGGGGUAACGGCCCACCAAGGCGACGAUCAGUAGCCGGUCUGAGAGGAUGAACGGCCACAUUGGAACUGAGACACGGUCCAA